GUGGGGAAUAUUGGACAAUGGGGGGAACCCUGAUCCAGCCAUGCCGCGUGUGUGAAGAAGGCCUUUUGGUUGUAAAGCACUUUAAGCGAGGAGGAGGCUACCGAGAUUAAUACUCUUGGAUAGUGGACGUUACUCGCAGAAUAAGCACCGGCUAACUCUGUGCCAGCAGCCGCGGUAAUACAGAGGGUGCAAGCGUUAAUCGGAUUUACUGGGCGUAAAGCGCGCGUAGGUGGCCAAUUAAGUCAAAUGUGAAAUCCCCGAGCUUAACUUGGGAAUUGCAUUCGAUACUGGUUGGCUAGAGUAUGGGGGAGGAUGGUAGAAUUCCAGGUGUAGCGGUGAAAUGCGUAGAGAUCUGGAGGAAUACCGAUGGCGAAGGCAGCCAUCUGGCCUAAUACUGACACUGAGGUGCGAAAGCAUGGGGAGCAAACAGGAUUAGAAACCCCUGUAGUCC
rnacentral:rRNA from 1 species